rnacentral:tRNA from 1 species
UAAAAAUUAGUUAAUAUAAUAUAAUAUAAGCUUGUCAAGUUUAAGUAAUUGAAUAAAUAUUUUUAU